CGCGAAAAACCUUACCCACCUUUGACAUGGCAGGAACUUUCCAGAGAUGGAUUGGUGCUCGAAAGAGAACCUGCACACAGGUGCUGCAUGGCUGUCGUCAGCUCGUGUCGUGAGAUGUUGGGUUAAGUCCCGCAACGAGCGCAACCCUUGUCAUUAGUUGCUACAUUCAGUUGGGCACUCUAAUGAGACUGCCGGUGACAAACCGGAGGAAGGUGGGGAUGACGUCAAGUCCUCAUGGCCCUUAUAGGUGGGGCUACACACGUCAUACAAUGGCUGGUACAAAGGGUUGCCAACCCGCGAGGGGGAGCUAAUCCCAUAAAGCCAGUCGUAGUCCGGAUCGCAGUCUGCAACUCGACUGCGUGAAGUCGGAAUCGCUAGUAAUCGUGGAUCAGAAUGUCACGGUGAAUACGUUCCCGGGUCUUGUACACACCGCCCGUCACACCAUGGGAGCGGGUCUCGCCAGAAGUAGGUAGCCUAACCGCAAGGAGGGCGCUUACCACGGCGGGGUUCGUGACUGGGGUGAAGUCGUAACAAGGUAGCCGUAUCGGAAGG
rnacentral:rRNA from 1 species